rnacentral:misc_RNA from 1 species
AUGAAGAACGUAGCGAAAUGCGAUAAGUAAUGUGAAUUGCAGAAUUCAGUGAAUCAUCGAAUCUUUGAACGCACAUUGCGCCCGCCAGUAUUCUGGCGGGCAUGCCUGUUCGAGCGUCAUUUCAACCAUCAAGCCCCCGGCUUGUGUUGGGGACCUGCGGCUGCCGCAGGCCCUGAAAACCAGUGGCGGGCUCGCUGUCACACCGAGCGUAGUAGAUUUUCAUCUCGCUCAGGGCGUGCUGCGGGUUCCGGCCGUAAAAAGCCUUAUUUACCCAAGGUUGACCUCGGAUCAGGUAGGAAGACCCGCUGAACUUAAGCAUAUCAAUAAGCGGAGGA